UACGGAGGAUGCGAGCGUUAUCCGGAUUUAUUGGGUUUAAAGGGUGCGCAGGCGGAUUUUUAAGUCAGCGGUCAAAUCGUGGGGCUCAACCCCAUCCAGCCGUUGAAACUGGCUGUCUUGAGAUGUCGAGAGGUAUGCGGAAUGCGCAGUGUAGCGGUGAAAUGCUUAGAUAUUGCGCAGAACUCCGAUUGCGAAGGCAGCAUGCCGGCUCCACACUGACGCUGAGGCACGAAAGCGUGGGUAUCGAACAGG
rnacentral:rRNA from 1 species